rnacentral:lncRNA from 1 species
CAGAUCUUCUUGGCUUGAUGAAUCUAAGCCCUUGGAUGUUUCAUUACACAUUGCCUCCAGAUGACUGCCAUGUAUCCCUCUGGUGCAAGUGUGCUUGACCAGGUUCAAUUCUGUUCCAAUGUAAUCAGGCUUGAAGUCGACCAAAUGCACAUUUAAACUCUGAUUUACGAUAAUCUGUACCAAAUAAAAUAUAAAAUUAAUGCAGCCCUUUUAUCAUUAUUUGUUAGCAAUAAUAUUAAUUUAAGCAACAUGUAGAACGCACUUUUGUGCUCUCAUCACACCCCCCAACUUGCUUAUUGCUAGUCUCUAGCAAUU